ensembl:lncRNA LINC02377 long intergenic non-protein coding RNA 2377
CAGCAGGAUGUGGGUGGGGCCAGAUAAGGGAAGCAGGCCUCCGAAGCCAGCAGUGGCAACCCACUUGGGUCCCUUUCAAUGCUGUGGAAGCGUUGUUCUUUCACUCUUCUCAAUAAAUCUUGCUGCUGCUCACUCUUUGGGUCUGCCCCGCUGUUAUGAGCUGUAACACUCACAGCCAGUGUCUGCAGUUUCACUCCUGAAGCCAGCAAGACCACAAACCCACAGGGCGGGACAAACAACUCCGGACAGGAGGAAUGAACAACUCUGGACGCGCCACUUCUAUGAACUUUUAUGAACUGUAACACUCACCGCAAAGGUCUGCAGCUUCACCCCUGAGGCCAGGGAGACCACGAACCCACCGGAAGGAAUGAACAACUCCAGACGCACUGCCUUUAAGAGCUGUAACACUUACCACGGAUGUCUGCAGCUUCACUCCUGAAGUCAGCGAGACCACAAACCCAACAGAAGGAAGAAACUCCCGACACAUCUGAACAUCUGAAGGAACAAACUCUGGACACACCAUCUUUAAGAACUGUAACACUCACCGUGAGGGUCAACCGCUUCAUUCUUGAAGUCAGCCAGACCAAGAACCCACCAAUUCCGAGUCUCACUUUGUUGCCUAAGCUAGAGUGCAGCGUCGUGAUCAAGGCUCACUGCAGCCUCAACAUCCUGAUCCCCAGUGUUCCUCCCACCUCAACCUCCCAAGUAGCUGGGACCACAGAUGAAUGCCAGAUGCCUCUAGUGAGCCACCUUGAAUCACUAUUCUGAAUACAUCUUGAGUAAAAAGAGAAAAUUGCUCAUGUUUCCAUGUCUAUCUGAAUCAUGUUAUUGGACCAUGAGAGCAAGCAGCUGGAUCUCAUUCUGUCCAGGACUCCUGGAAACAGCAGCUCUAACAAAAUUGUCUUCAAUAAAUAAGUUUUUUUGCAUC